UACGGAGGGUGCAAGCGUUGCUCGGAAUUAUCGGGCGUAAAGGGCAGGUAGGUGGUCUUAUUUGUCCGGGGUGAAAUCCUUGAGCUUAACUCAAGAAGUGCCCCGGAGACGGUGAGACUAGAGUUUUGGAGAGGGUCGUGGAAUUCCCGGUGUAGCGGUGAAAUGCGUAGAGAUCGGGAGGAACACCAGAGGCGAAAGCGGCGACCUGGACAAUGACUGACACUCAACUGCGAAAGCGUGGGGAGCAAACAGG
rnacentral:rRNA from 1 species